rnacentral:rRNA from 1 species
AACCUGACUGCUCUUGAGUGGCGCCUCCCCAGGCAGACAAGGACCCGGCAAACCAGGCGUGAGCCCUGAGCCAUGGCGCAGCAGGUUUACUCGAUGGGCGGGUAUCGCGGUUCCAGCCACCACAUCUGUGGGCCAGCGAUGACCAGGUCCACUGGCGCAGCAGGUGACCUUCCCUCUUGCCCAGGACCUGGAGCUUGGCCCGUGCCACCAGGCUGGGCUUUGAAGACUCUAGCGGUCCCACCCGACCCCCUGCCUGUGCUGUCUCCGGCCGGCCUCACUGUCCGUCCCCCAGGGUGUUCCCAAAAUGGGAGUGGAGGGGUUCGGGAAAGGAUGAGUGGAUCGGCCAGGUGGGCCGGUGGGAGAGCGGCCUGCCUCCAUCCCCCUGGGAAGCACUGUGCUGGUUUCCCAGGCUGAGCACCUGGAUUAUUAUUAUUUUUUUAAACCACAAUGGACUCGGCUGAGUUGGACAGGGCGCUGGGCUGUAUCGCCAUAGGCGGCGCUGUGUCCCCCGUCUUCUCCUGCACCGGCAGGGUCAGGCUGAUGUCUGGAACAAAAACAAAGUUGCCUGUGACUCUUGGCCGUGGAUCACUCGGCUCACACAUCGAUUAAGAAUGCAGCUAGCUGCAAGUCUACCCCUGUCUGAGGGUCACUUGUACAUCAAUCAGCCCAGGGUCCCUCCAGGGGUGUGUCUGGGGCUGUCGCAGGGACCCCGUUCCCUUUGUCCCCUUAAGGUCAGACUCCGAUCAACACCGUUCCAGGAUCCCUGGACAUGCGGACCUUCACCCUACCCCUUGGCACCCGGCCAUGCUGUGUUUAACUGUCUGUGGUGUCCCGUUGGCUGCUGGCGCAGGAUGGCCAAAGAGUGCAGGCCUCGAGACCAUGUGGGUUCAGGGCUGGGACAACCCCCGUACAGGCACAAGGCCAGUUGCCCCGAGCUUUGUGCUCCCCCCAACUACGGCCUCAGAUCAGACGUGGCGACCCACUGAACUUAAGCAUAUUACUAAUCAGAGGAAAAGAAACUAAUCAGGAUUCCCUGAGUAACGGCCAGUGAAGGUGGAAGAGCCCAGCACCGAAUCCCUGUUCAGAGGCAGGCAUGGGAAAUGUGCCGUACAGAAGACUGACUCCCUGGCAUCGCCGUCUCACCCCACGGACCGUGUUAGACCGGUAGCAGCCCCUGACCCCAGAAAAGGUGUUGGUUGAUAUAGACAGCAGGACGGUGGACAUGGAAGUUGAAAUUCGCUAAGGAGUGUGUAACAACUCACCUGCCGAAUCAACUAGCCCUGAAAAUGGAUGGCGCUGGAGUGUCAGGCCCACACCUGGCCAUCGCCGGCGCUGAAAGCCGCAGGGGCUAAGACGCAACAAGUAGGAGGGCCGCUGUGGUGCACACGGAAGCCCGGGCUGAGGGCCCGGAUGGAGCCACCGCAGGUGUAGUUCUUGGUGGUAGUAGCAAAUAUUCAAAUGGGAAUUUUGAAGGCCGAAGUGGAGAAGGGUUCCAUGUGACAGCAGUUGAACAUGGAUCAGUCGGUCCUAAGAGAUAGGUGAGCAAUGUUCGGAAGGGACGGGCGAUGGGCUCCGUUGCCCUCAGCCGAUCGAAAGGGAGUCGGGUUCAGGGUACCCUGGAAUAGGUUCGCCGUGAGAGAGCGGCCCGAGCCUUGGAAAGUGUCGCAGUUCCAGCAGCGUGCAGUGAGCUCUUGCUAGUCAUUGUAAAUCCGGGGGAGAUGGUGUAAAUCUCACGCUGGGCCGUACCCACAUCCGCAGCAGGUCUCCAAGGUGAGCAGCCUCUAGCAUGUUGGAACCAUGUAGGUAAGGGAAGUCGGAAAGUCAGAUCUGUAACUUCGGGAUAAGGAUUGGCUCUAAGGGCUGGGUCGGUCGGGCUGGGGUGCACAGCGGGACUGGGUGUAUGCCACGGCUGGACGAGGCGUCUCACCCCCCGACCCCAGGGGCGGCGCCAACUCUGGAUACAAGCCGGGCCCUUCCUGUGGAUCGCCCCAGCUGCAGUGGUCGCCUCUCUCUGUUCCCCACCUGGGGUUCGUGCCAAGGUUCUGCCUCGACCAACGCCUAGCAGCUGAUUUAGAACUGGUACAGACCAGGGGAAUCCGACUGUUUAAUUAAAACAAAGCAUCGCGAAGGCCCUCAGUGGGUGUUGACGCAAUGUGAUUUCUGCCCAGUGCUCUGAAUGUCAAAGUGAAGAAAUUCAAUGAAACAUGGGUAAACGGCGGGAGUAACUAUAACUCUCUUAAGGUAGCAAAGUGCCUCAUCAUCUAAUUAGUGACGCGCAUGAAUGGAUGAACAAGAUUCCCGCUGUCCCUACCUACUAUCUAGUGAAACCACGGCCAAGGGAAUGGGCGUGGCAGAAUCAGCGGGUAAAGAAUACCCAAUUGAGCUUUCCUCCAGUCUGGCACUGUGAAGAGACAGAGGUGUAGGAUAAGUGGGAGGCCCUCGGGCCACCGGUGAAAUACCACUACCCUUAUUGUUUUUUCACUUACCCGUGAGGUGGGGGUGAGCCCCCUUGGGCCUCUCACUUCUGUCUCCAAGCACCCAGCAGCCACUGUGCGUGACCCACUCCGGGGACAGUGGCAGGUGGGGAGUUUGACUGGGGUGGAACACCUGCCAAACGGUAACGCAAGUGUCCUAAGGCAAGCUGAGGGAGGACAGAAACUUUCCAGUGUUACAUAAGGGCAAACGCUUGCUUGAUCGAUUUUAAGUAUGAAUACACACCGUGAAAGCGGGACCUCACAAUCCUUCUGACUUUUUGGGUUUUCAAGCAGGAGGUGUCAGAAAAGUUACCCCAGGGAUAACUGGCUUGUGGCGGCCAAGCUUUCAUAGCGAGGUCGCUUUUUGAUCCCUCGAUGUUGGCUCUUCCUAUCACUGUGAAGCAGAAUUCACCAAACGUUGGAUUGGUCACCCACUAAUAGGGAACCUGAGGUGGGUUUAGACCCUCGUGAGACAGGUUAGUUUUACCCUUUUGAUGAUGUGUUGUUGCAAUAGUAAUCCUGUUCAGUAUGAAAGGAACUGCAGGUUCAGACAAUUGGUGAAUGUGCUUGGCUGAGGAGCCAAUGAGGCGAAGCUACCAUCUGUGGGAUUAUGACUGAACGACUCCAAGUCAAAAUCCCCCCUAAACUGUAAAGAUACUGCAGUGCUGACGAUCCUCGGUUGGUCUAGAAUAUCCAGCCACUGGGCCGGUGCGUAGAUUCGCUCGCCUCGGGAAUCGAUUGUAGAGAGAACGGUGGCCACCUCUCUCGCCCGUAGUGCACUGCAUGUUUGUGGGGAACCUGGUGCUAAUUCAUUCGUUGACAACCUGAUUCUGGUUAGGGUUUUGUAAGUAGCAGAGCAGCUACCUCGCUGCGAUCUAUUGAAAGUCAUCCUC